rnacentral:tRNA from 2 species
AUCGGUGUAGCUCAGUCGGUAGAAGCACUUGACUUUUAAUUAAGAUGUCAUGGGUUCGAUUCCCAUCACCGAUACCA